rnacentral:rRNA from 1 species
GUGGGGAAUCUUCCGCAAUGGACGAAAGUCUGACGGAGCGACGCCGCGUGAGUGAAGAAGGCCUUCGGGUCGUAAAGCUCUGUCAUCAGGGACGAACGGCCGGUGGAGUUGAAAGCCACCGGAUUGACGGUACCUGAGAAGGAAGCCACGGCUAACUACGUGCCAGCAGCCGCGGUAAUACGGAGGUGGCAAGCGUUGUCCGGAAUGAUUGGGCGUAAAGCGCGCGCAGGUGGGAUCUUAAGUCCAUUUUGAAAGUUCGGAGCUCAACUCCGUGAUGGGAUGGACACUGGGAUUCUUGAGUACCGGAGAGGAAAGCGGAAUUCCCCGUGUAGCGGUGAAAUGCGUAGAUAUGGGGAGGAACACCAGUGGCGAAGGCGGCUUUCUGGACGGUGUCUGACACUGAGGCGCGAAAGCUAGGGGAGCGAACGGGAUUAGAAACCCCGGUAGUCC